rnacentral:lncRNA from 1 species
CAGCCAGACGCGGAGAGAAAAAUUUCUAGACCCUCAUCUCGGAUUUCUUGUACCCGAGGAACCCCUGUGGUGUUUAGGACCUUUCGCCCCACGUCUCAGCUUGUUCUCAUUCACGGAACUAGUUGAUAAUCCUCGGAAGGAUUGCCACGCGCGAACGCGGCCAAAAGGUUCACCCUCACAGUCCAAUAAUUCUGAUCCUAAGCCACACGGUUCUCCCACAUGAUCAAGUAGCAGAGGAAUUCACAAGACCAACAGCGCUCGGAAUUGGACGAUGAUUUUGGACUCUACUCUUCCGGACGAUAGACUUAUACCAAUUGACAAAGCCUGAUCUAUCCACUACUUAUGCGAGCGUGAUUUUCAGAGGUCGGCUUGCUUUGUAGGAUUAUAAGCCCGGCUAUGAAGAACCAGCACCAGCGAGCAAUGGCUACCAGUUACAAAUCACUGGGUACCAGUUACCAGUUGGCAGUUGCCACCUCGGUUGAUCUCUGUUGGCCUCAAUCCACUUGAUCAAUGUCUCCAUGCCGUUCUCGUUAGCUUUUUUUAUUGCUACAGUCACUCUAAAAU